rnacentral:rRNA from 1 species
AACUUCUGAAUGUUGACCUCGGAUCAGGUAGGAAUACCCGCUGAACUUAAGCAUAUCAAUAAGCGGAGGAAAAGAAACCAACAGGGAUUGCCCUAGUAACGGCGAGUGAAGCGGCAACAGCUCAAAUUUGAAAUCUGGCUUUCGGGCCCGAGUUGUAAUUUGUAGAGGAUACUUUUGAUGCGGUGCCUUCCGAGUUCCCUGGAACGGGACGCCAUAGAGGGUGAGAGCCCCGUCUGGUUGGAUGCCAAAUCUCUGUAAAGUUCCUUCGACGAGUCGAGUAGUUUGGGAAUGCUGCUCUAAAUGGGAGGUAUAUGUCUUCUAAAGCUAAAUAUUGGCCAGAGACCGAUAGCGCACAAGUAGAGUGAUCGAAAGAUGAAAAGCACUUUGAAAAGAGAGUUAAAAAGUACGUGAAAUUGUUGAAAGGGAAGCGUUUAUGACCAGACUUGGACUUGGUUAAUCAUCUGGGGUUCUCCCCAGUGCACUUUUCCAGUUCAGGCCAGCAUCAGUUUUCGCCGGGGGAUAAAGGCUUCGGGAAUGUAGCUCUCUUCGGGGAGUGUUAUAGCCCGUUGUGUAAUACCCUGGUGGGGA